rnacentral:rRNA from 1 species
UACGAAGGGGGCUAGCGUUGUUCGGAUUCAUUGGGCGUAAAGGGUGCGUAGGCGGCGCGGUAAGUCGGGUGUGAAAUCUUGGAGCUUAACUCCGAAACUGCAUUCGAUACUGCCGUGCUUGAGGACUGGAGAGGAGACUGGAAUUUACGGUGUAGCGGUGAAAUGCGUAGAUAUCGUAAGGAAGACCAGUGGCGAAGGCGGGUCUCUGGACAGUUCCUGACGCUGAGGCACGAAGGCCAGGGGAGCAAACGGG